rnacentral:misc_RNA from 1 species
GGUUACUCCCUGAGAAUACAUGCCUGGUGGAGGAGGGUACACACUCUGCCCAUACACAGGAGGUUGCGCGGUUUGAUAAGAUCCAGACUGGUCAUUUCCUGCCUGAGGAAGCGAUUGGGUCGGGUCACUCGGGUAAGUCCAGUACCCAGUGGAAACUUGGUAUGCUGCAUUGGGAUAUGUAGCUUCAGAGGUUCCAUUUGUUGAUGGCAAAGCAGGUG